UACAGAGACUGCAAGCGUUUAUUCGGAUUAACUGGACGUAAAGCGCGCGUAGGCGGGUUUUUAAGUCAGGGGUGAAAUCCCAAGGCUCAACCUUGGAACUGCCUUUGAUACUGGAAAUCUUGAGUCCGGGAGAGGUGAGUGGAACUGCGAGUGUAGAGGUGAAAUUCGUAGAUAUUCGCAAGAACACCAGUGGCGAAGGCGGCUCACUGGUCCGGUACUGACG
rnacentral:rRNA from 1 species